GAUGAACGCUGGCGGCGUGCCUAAUACAUGCAAGUCGAGCGAACAGACGAGGAGCUUGCUCCUCUGACGCUAGCGGCGGACGGGUGAGUAACACGUGGAUAACCUACCUAUAAGACUGGGAUAACUUCGGGAAACCGGAGCUAAUACCGGAUAAUAUAUUGAACCGCAUGGUUCAAUAGUGAAAGACGGUUUUGCUGUCACUUAUAGAUGGAUCCGCGCCGCAUUAGCUAGUUGGUAAGGUAACGGCUUACCAAGGCAACGAUGCGUAGCUGACCUGAGAGGGUGAUCGGCCACACUGGAACUGAGACACGGUCCAGACUCCUACGGGAGGCAGCAGUAGGGAAUCUUCCGCAAUGGGCGAAAGCCUGACGGAGCAACGCCGCGUGAGUGAUGAAGGUCUUCGGAUCGUAAAACUCUGUUAUUAGGGAAGAACAAAUGUGUAAGUAACUAUGCACGUCUUGACGGUACCUAAUCAGAAAGCAACGGCUAACUACGUG
rnacentral:rRNA from 1 species